CAAGUCGAGCGAAGCAGUUAAGUUGAUUUCUUCGGAUUGAUUCUUAAUUGACUGAGCGGCGGACGGGUGAGUAACGCGUGGGUGACCUGCCCCAUACCGGGGGAUAACAGCUGGAAACGGCUGCUAAUACCGCAUAAGCGCACGAAGCUGCAUGGCUUUGUGUGAAAAACUCCGGUGGUAUGGGAUGGGCCCGCGUCUGAUUAGGCAGUUGGCGGGGUAACGGCCCACCAAACCGACGAUCAGUAGCCGGCCUGAGAGGGCGACCGGCCACAUUGGGACUGAGACACGGCCCAAACUCCUACGGGAGGCAGCAGUGGGGAAUAUUGCACAAUGGGGGAAACCCUGAUGCAGCGACGCCGCGUGAGCGAAGAAGUAUUUCGGUAUGUAAAGCUCUAUCAGCAGGGAAGAUAAUGACGGUACCUGACUAAGAAGCCCCGGCUAACUACGUGCCAGCAGCCGCGGUAAUACGUAGGGGGCAAGCGUUAUCCGGAUUUACUGGG
rnacentral:rRNA from 1 species